GUUUGGAUUGAGGGUUUCACUGAUGCAGAGCUCAAGAAUGCUUACAAGAAGCUUUCACUGAGAUGGAACCUAGAUUGUUGUUCUGAAUUAGGAAACUUAAACAUGUGGAAGAAGCAAAGAAUAAGUUUCAGGCAAUACAAGAAGCCUAUUCUGGUAAUUAAUGUAUUUGGUUUUGUUAAUAAAGGUGUUAUCUUGAAUGA